ensembl:lncRNA
CUAGACACUGGUGUCGUCUUAUCCUCUGGACUCUCCUCCUCCUCCGCCCCACUCAGCUCCGGCUCCUCCUCAGGCUCCUCCGGCUCGGGGGUUGGUGGCGGAGGCAUCUCUUCCUCCUUGCUCCUUACACACUCCUCCAAUUUCGGCUGCUCCUCCUUUUCCCUCUUUGGCCUGCGGCCCCUCCUGGGCGGCGCAGGCGCCGGCGGGCUUUUCACCGGCGGCGCCGCAGGGGCGGAGUUUCGCUUUGGAGUCGGCGCCGAUACGCCGGCGCUUUUGUUGGCCGCGGUCGACUGAGCAGCCGGGGGCGGGGAGAGCGAGAGCGAGAAGGACACCGCCCCCGAGGAACUCCGAGUGGCCGGCGCCUCCCUCUCCCUGGAGAAGAAAGGGGGCGGGGCGGUGGCCGUGGCGGAGGAGGAGGGCUGCGGAGAGGCGAAGGUGUGGCCUUGCACAGGGGAGGGGUGAGGGCGGGACGAGGCGGAGGUGGUGUGUGUGCGGAGCGCGGCCAGCUCCAUGGCGGCCCUGACCUCGGGCUGGUUGGCGUGGUGCUUCUCCAGGUGGCGCGCCAGCGAGCGGUAGUGGCGGCCACAGUACGGGCAACGCUGCCUCCUGCUGACCGUGGCCGCGCCGGAACCGCCGAUGUUGAUGUUGAUGUUGUUGUUGAUGUUGGUGGUGGGCUGCGGCGCCAGGGCGCUGGGCUGCCCCGGGGUCCGGGCGGGCACUGAGGAGGAGGCGGACGCCAGGCGUGAGAAGGAGGACGAGCAGGGGCGCCCGGGUACCGACCUGGGGCCUGCGGUGCUCUUCUUCUUGGUGCCGGCGACGGCGGCUGCCAUUUUGCGCUUCUUCCGGCGGCGGAGCAUGCGGCCCCGCAGCUCCUCCAUGUCCUCCUCCUCGUCGUCGUCGUCAUCGUCUUCCUCCUCCUCCUCAUCCUCCUCGCGGUCCGAGUCGCUGGGCUCAGAGUGGGUGAGCGGAGAGGAGGAGGGGGACAGAGACCAGGAUGGCGUGAGGUAGUCGGACAGAGACAGAGGGUGGGGCCCUGGUUCCUCUUCCUGACAGUGAUAGAAAAAAAAAAGAGAGAGACGAACAUUGUAAAUGCCCCCCCCCCAUAACCAUAAAAAUGUCCUAAAAUGGACUUGAGGUAUGUGGGGGCCGGGACACUUUUCAUUACCUUCUUAACGUUAUUGUCUGGGUUACAGCUGCAGACUAACACUCGCCGUGCCACAGGGUUACGAAACCCCUAGGACAUUCACGACACAACCAAAAGGGUUCAACAGGGCGCAAAGGGCGUCCCAGCGCCGAGGCCAUCACACUGGCCGUCACAAUGCUCUUUACUUGGACAGGACAAGGAGACAACGCUCAGCCAGCAAUGCUCACUGACGUACAACGUCAAUGUUGAGAUGUACUGGAUUGCCGUGACGACUGACGUCAUGACCCCUGACCUCUCAAUCGCCGGCUAAAUAUCGGAGAACGGCCGAAAUUGCGGCGCUACGAGGAAAACGGACGCCUUUUAAGCAGCGAGUCAUAGUCACCAUGUUGUUCUCUCCCCAGUCCGUCAGGCUGUAGUCCACGGUGAUCUCCUCCCCCUUGGCGAUGUCGCGGAUCGCUAUGACGACCAAUCGCACCUGGCUCCCACAAUGCACCUCGCGGAUCCUGCAGUUGGGCGUGGCGUGGAAGAGAACCGGACCCCGGACCCCGCUCGCGCCCUCCUCUCCCAGCUCAGACACACUGGACCAGGAAACAGACCAACGUCAGGCUCCACCCACCCACCAUCAGACCGGUCCCGGAGACACACCUCCAGACACCCACACUAAGAGGCAGGUAUUUUGGAUACACGAGAACUAUAACAUUUCACCAAGAAUUUGCUAUACAUUAAAGGCCCGAAUGAAAUACGCAUUUCGGAUAAUGGUCGUUGAAGACCUCGGCCUCAGACAAAAAAACACAACUGCUCAUUAGAUGACCAUUUCAGACCUGCCGGUUGAUAUGUUGUACACAUGCUAAACAGAGCUUUUCUGAUAUAGUAGGACAUGUACAGUAUGUGGUUUUAGUAUGCAGCAAGAAAGGCAGCCGUCCGGAAUGUCCCGCUCAUUCCUCCCCAUACUCGGAAUCCGCCCAACGGGAUAUUGGAAAAAAUAAAUAAUUUAUGGAAUGCUCCUGGAAUCUGGCAACACAAGACACAACGGAUUUCAGUGUCUAAGUGAGGGGCAGAGAAUGGAAGAAACUCUGGAGGAACCAGGCCCCUACUGGUUCAUGAAUCUACUGACCACCUCCGGAGCACUGCCAAAACAAGACGUCGAAAUCGUUACAAACGUUGCCAGGUGUCACUGGUUUACGGCGGUUCUCGGCCCUGAACGAUUCUACUGAAAUAAAGUUUACAAAAGCCUGUUUUUCGAAUAAUGGUUUCCAAAAACAAUCAUCACCACCCCCACCCCAACUAAACUCACCAGAGCUGGGUGGGAUCAGCCAGGUAGUAAGGGCUUCCAGGUGGGGGCAGUCUGUCCUCCGCUCCCUCUGGAU